rnacentral:lncRNA from 1 species
UUCUAGAGAUAGUGACAAAAAUAAUCAAGAGAACCACAUUGAAUUAAAAGAAGCAUGACCAAUACCGUAACACAUUUUUCACUUGGCAUCAUAAUUCAGAGAUUAAGGAUAUCAGAAGUGAAGCAAUAGGAAAACAGUUUACUGCAGGCGGCAUAGUGUCAUCAUAAUUUAUCAGUGUAUGCUGGGAUAGAGUUCAAAGAAUUAGGCAUCAUUGUCACUAUCCCUCUGAGGCCAAUAACAAUCAAAAAGAGAAAGAAAAAUUUGGAAGUCACGUUUAUAAACCCAAAGGAAUAGUACAUUAUGCUGAAUCUACAUACAAAGGAAAAUAAGAAAAUAUAAAUGGGAAGUAAAAAUCCUUUUUGAGAGAUGAAAAAAAUGAGUUUUGGAUGAUUUUUAUUCAUUAAGUGAUGCUGUAUGUAAGCAAGGUUAAAAAAUAAAAUCACAUUUCAUGGAAUAAUUGGUUGGCUCAGAGGCUAAAAGGGCAAGGCAUCAGAGGAUAGUGAGAGGGAGAGAUUUCUCAAAGAUACAGAAAAAAAAAAGAAUGGGUUAUAUUUUAAAUAUUCAAAAAGAAAAUAAAGUUAGAG